rnacentral:lncRNA from 1 species
CUAACCUCGAUAAUUACUCUAAUUACUCUAAACUACACAAUUAUCUUUGAUACAAAGACGGCUAUGUAGCUAGCUAAGAAAAAUCGCUCAGAUCAAACAAAUCAAACCAAUGUAAUGUAAUGAAAUUUAAUAUUACCUGUGGAGCGAAGCGAAGUGCGACUACUCGCUCCAGCCCUGGAGGUAGCAUAGCGUAGCACUAGACUGGAGAUCCAGCCCUGGAGGUAGCAUAGAGUAGCACUAGACUGGAGAUCCAGCCCUGGAGGUAGCAUAGCGUAGCACUAGACUGGAGAUCCAGCCCUGGAGGUAGCAUAGCAUAGCACUAGACUGGAGAUCCAGCCCUGGAGGUAGCAUAGAGUAGCACUAGACUGGAGAUCCAGCCCUGGAGUUAGCAUAGCAUAGCACUAGACUGGAGAUCCAGCCCUGGAUGUAGCAUAGCGUAGCACUAGACUGGAGAUCCAGCCCUGGAGGUAGCAUAGCGUAGCACUAGACUGGAGAUCC